CAAACAAUAGAAGUGUUGCCAUCGGACUCCUUAACCAGGUGAAGCAAGAAGUCCUUUAGUAAGGAAAAUCCGGCUUCCAGCUGCCAUAGUACCUUGUUUACCAUAUAUGGACUGCUUUGAAAAUUAGCCAAUCAGUUUGUGCCAAGCUUGAAAUUUCCCUAACCCCUUAAAUUUUGCCCCAAACCGGGUCGGGGGGUGGGGGGAAGACAGAUUUGAGCCUUGCUUCCUGUCUCCUUGCCGGUCGACCUCGCAAUAAAGCUCUUUCUUGUCUCAAAACCUGAGGCCAUAGUAUUGGCUUCUCUGCGUGCCAGGCAGUGAGCCCUUGCUCACCAAGAAUUUUUGCCGAUCACGAACGGAUCCUUUUGUGAUCGCCUGGCUGAGGCACUGUAGCCCCCGGCUGGCUGUAGGCCCUCGCCACCGACCCUGAAUGGCCACCUAGACCCAAUUUGUCUAGAGGCUCGGCUGUCGGGUUCCUGCUUCCCGCAGCAGCUCCAGGCUCCUCCGCGCUACUUUCCCUUUGGAAAGUGGAAAGAAACAGCUCCUGGGUCUUUUGGCAGAAAAAGUAGACACCAAAGUACUCCCAGGUCAAGACUGUGCCCUCCAAGCUGCGCCAUUACAAUUGGGAGACAAGCCUCAACGAGAUGUCCCUGAAGAAAUUCUUCAAAAGAUAGAAAUGGGACAGCUAAGACUCCACCUGCCCAGGAAGAGAAGGCAAGGACAUCUUGAAAGUAGACAGCUUCCACCCAGAAGUCUGGACCAGGCCAAUAUAAAUUCAAAUUCAAUCACUAAAAAUGUAAAAAUGACAUGUGUUCAUGGAUCCCAAAGAAUAAGGUCUGGUUUGGGAGGACUGUUAAAAUUAGGAAUCAUAGUUUUGUGUAUCAUAGGGUUAAUCUUUUUUUUUUUUUUUUUUUUUUUUUUUUUGGCACACGGGCUUAGUUGCUCCGUGGCAUGUGGGAUCUUCCUGGAGCAGGGAUCGAACCCAUGUCCUCUGCAUUGGCAGGCAGAUUCUUAACCACUGCGCCACCUAGGAAGCCCAAGGGGUUAAUCUUUUUACUCACCAAAUUUUUUACUUAUCAUCUGUCUCAUAUAUUUAAAAAGGCUGCCCCCCUGCUGACACGGUGAUUACCCAAGACUUAAGAGUUCAGUGUGGGACUUAUGAAUAUUUACAAUCAAGUGCAAAAACAGUUUCAUUCCUCUUAUGAAAAUCUAUGCCCCUAUUCAGCAGGAAGCAGCUAGAGCAAUCAUUGCCCUAUUUCCCUUAACAUUGAGGAAUGUACAAAGAAAAAGGGGGGAGCUAAAACAACACAUAAAACAUUGACAUGCUUACCCUGGUUUGGUCUCCUUAAAUAGGUUGUUUAUUAAUCAAACCUUGAGUUAUUUUACAGAGACAGCACUGCUCAUGUGCAAGACUGGAACCCAUGUCUCCAGGAUGACCCCAGAACCGAGAAUCUUCAGUUUACAGAAUGAGAAACAGUAGAAAUGUUGCCACUGGAGCCCCUUACCAAGCAAGAAGUUCUUUAAUAAGAUCCAGCUUGCAGCUACCCAAGUAGCUUGAUUCCAAUCAGCUUCUGACUGUCAAGACUAACCGAUAAGCUUGUACCAAGUUUGAAAUUCCCCUAAACCCUUACAUUUUGCCCUGAACACUGGAUGGGGAGACAGAUUUGAGCCCUGCCUCUCUAUUAACGCUAUAUCCUCUAGCUUGAGGUGAAAACAUUAGUUAUUUUAUCAACAUUAGUUGAUAAAAUUGCACCUGAGCUGGAUGACCAGAACUACUGAAGUUCUCCUGAGUCUUUAAUUCUUUAAUGACAGAUACAUACAUUAACAUUACCUUAGAAGCUUACUUAUGUGUCUUCCUAAACAAUUUUUUUUUUCCUACAGUAGAGAAUUGGAGACCCUGGCUGGACUUUAAAGUUCAACUUUGGACACUUCCAGCUUUAACAUACUGUGUGAUCUUAUGGAAGUUACGUAGGAUUUCUGUGCCUCUGUUUACCCAAGUGUAAAAAAAGAUAAUGAUAGCUCCUUCAAAGGUAGAUUGUAAGGAUUAAAUGAGUUUCUAUGCUGAAAAGCUUAGGAAAAUGCUUAACCCAUAGUAAGAGUUCUAAAGAUUAGCUAUUAUCAUUAUGGAGGUGUCUUGCUCAAGACUUAUAAUUCUCACUUUUCUAAUUAUCCUUUUUUUUCCCCAAAACACAAAAGCAGGAGAAAAAGCAAACACCUUGUGUUUUUAUUCUCACUGACAUGUUCCUGCAGGCUUCUCAGUAUUAAAGCUAUAUCAUUCAGUAGUGUUGCAUUUGGCUGCCAUAAUCAAGUUAACUGACUUAGAAUGCGUUUCUUAGAAUGGGUUUCUUCUCGUGCUUUUAGCAUGUCAUCAGUUUUUCUAAAGUGACAGUUUCUUGUUGAGAAAUGUUGCCAUUUGUAUUCCUAAUAUCAUAAAUUGCAGUCAUAUAUUAACUUACUAGUCUUUAUUUAGAAGUUGAAGUAACGUGCUUACUAAUUUUCUGGUUUCAUGAUUUCCUGUCUCUGGAAUAUCAGUCAUCUCUGGGUCUGUCCUCAGUCCACUGUUUUUACCUCGAUGCUCAUGAUGUCAGCCACCCACUGUUGGUGACCCCCAAAGUUGAUUUCCAGCCCUGAACUGAUCCGGUGUUUCUAAUUCAUAUAACUAGGCUUCUUAUCAGCACUUCACAUGACUAUUCCACUAGCAGCUCAAAUAGUCUCUUCUAAAAUACCGCUACUACCAUUAAUGGCCUGACCAACUUCAGAGAUAAAAGAUUUUAUCUUGUUCACUCUUGGGAACUAUAUUUACUUUGAAUACUCUUCCUGUGAACUCAUUCUUUUAAGUAAAUUAUCCUGAUUGAGCCUUAGCAGCAGCAAGCUGGAUGAAACCAUCAGGCAUCACCUAAGCCUCACUCUUAAGGUGUGAUUAAUUUUUCCUAAUUGCAAAGUCAUAGUCGUUUUAGGCUUUGUAGUUACAGCAUGUUACCAGCAGAGGGAGCUAGUUUCUUACAAUUGUGUUGCAAUUUGGCAAUGAGCCUUAUUUAACAAAGGAAUUUGUUGGGCAUUCUUAAGACUGAAUCGUCUAAGAGACCAGAAAGGUAGAAAUCUUGAUCGUUUUGAUGGGACUGUGAUAAGCUUAAGCAGAAAAAGCACCAAGUUGGGAAAACGUAUGGGCCCAGUUGUAUACAUUUCAUAUGUCUUGGAAUUUAUGAUCCUUUCUCCUAAUUACGUAAACAGGACUAGAGUAAUGCCUAACAGGUACGGGGAGGCACUCACUGAGCGGGUAAAGCUCUUUGGUGAUUAUCUGAAUGUUUGUGAGCUUAAAAGGAGAAAUUCUGAAUCUUAUCAGCUAAUUAACUCCUAGAAAAGAAAGAUACAUAAUCAUGAGACUUAUAGCCUGUUUUCAGGUCUUUCUUUACCCCCUUCUGGUGUCUGUGCCAGAAGCUGUUGUACUCUCUUCUUAAUAAACUGUUACUCUGUUACUUAUA